GACUAGGAUUCAUUAGAGGCCUUUUGGAAGAAGUGUCUAAAGGAGAGACUUGGAUGAAAGACUGAAGAGGUGGCAGGUUGGGGCACAUAAUGACAUAAGGAAAGGGAGACAGUUAUUUCUGUGUCCUUGUUUCUCUCUCACAUUUGUGGGUCGAUAACAUUAUACUGAAAUUUUUCUGCAUUCUAUAUUUUAUACUUUGUAACAUUUCCGCUUAGUGAUCCACAACAUCCUUAUAUUUGUCUGUUUGCAUAAGGAAAAUCCAAAUGUACACUGUGGGCAUCUGCGCUCUUGAUUUGUAAUUUUUUAGCUAUGACAUUGCUCAGGUGAAAUAGUUGUGUAAAAAGGUGUUUCACUGAGCUGUUUUUAGAUUGCUGCUGAUUAUCUGUUUUAUUUCAGGAGGAAGUCAAUGGGUUCACAAGUAUGCAGAAUUCCCUCUCCCCUUCUAUACAGCGAUCAACAAAUGGAAUUGCCUGAAUUAAUUCUGCCUUGCAGGCAGGAGCCAGCUCCCGAACACAGGAUUGCAGUGUUACUUGGUGGGCUGAGGAAAAGCAUCACCCCAAACUGGGAACACAAAGGAGAAGUGGAAAUGGAGAAAAUAUGAGAUUUUUCACCUGCUCUAGAGACAGAUUCAGAUAGGAAGUUCCCACAGAAGACAUUUAACUAAGGAAAUACGAGAGCAAGGGGCAUGGCAAAGGCUACAUGAGGUCUGCUCAUUGCCCAUCUCAAGGUGGUUCUCCCUCCCCGCCUUUCUUUUCCUCAGUGCUGUCUGGUGUCAGUUCUGCUCCUCCUUCUUCCCUCUGGUGUCAUGUCAGUUCUGCUGCUCUUUCUACGCUCCCCCGCCUCCCCCACUAAAGUAGCUGGCAUUGGUCCUUCUCAACACACUGGAUACAAACACAGCAAACUUCAAAUAAGGAAAAACAACAACAACAACAAAACACCUCAGUGAUAUGGCACCUAAAAUCCAAAGUAAAAUACUGGAAACAAAAUCACAAACUUGUCCUCCAUCCGAAGCAGAAAUCCCAGCGGACGCUGCAGCUGAAUCUUCAGGGGGAAGAUGUGCCAGCUAGAAUGGCAUGGAUCAGCAUCCAGGACUGUAAAAACACAGCCUUAGGACUUCGAAUCACUAAGUGCGCUCCUCCCCAACUUACCAGAAGAUCCUUCUCCCUCCAGUCCCAAAGGGGAGGGGCGCUCAGUAUGGCUUGCUGUCAUUCUUAGAGCGCUUGAGCUGCACUUUCAGACGCUUCAUGCCAAUUUGAAAGCCGUUCAUUGACUGGAUGGCAGCCUGUGCAGAGACAGGAUUGUCGUAACUUACAAAACCUGGGAAAAGGAAAAAUACAUAAUUAUAGCAUGCUCAGAUCCCAAACAGACAAGUGGAUAAGACUCUCUGCUACAAGAGCUGCGUGUACCCAGGUUAUCUCAAGGUAAACAGGUAUGCGUGAAGUGCCAUUUUCAAAAGCUCAUAACUUCACUAGAUCACUCAGGCACUUCGCAAAGAUUCCUGGCCAAACUGUAGCUUUCUAUCACAAGCCACUUUGGCACAAGAGCUGUUUAAAAAAAAAAAAAAAAUAGCACUACAGUUUUUUUUCUAAACAAACAGGGAAAGGUUUUUCCACCAGUCUCCUCAGAUUCAAACAUAGCUUACUGAUUUUUUGUUCAAACUUCCCCAAAACUCAUCCUUGCGGAGAGACCAAACUUGGAAAUUUUCAGUCCAAAAGAUGAAAACUUUGCAAAGUUAUAAAUAAUUGCAAACAGGAGCUCAGCAUGGAAAUUUUCAUGUAACCUUAACUAUAGCUAUUGACCAUGUUCCAGUUAUGAGAACAAAAACUGAUUUAUUGGGCAUAACUGAAACCUAGCUGAUAACUUUUGUAACAGGAAUGUCAGUAUAGGCAAGAUAAAAGGGGAAGAGAAGUGGCGUUGUAUGUUAGAAAUAUUUACAUGCUGAGGCACUACGAUUAUACAAACAAUAAGUAUGUUGGUAAAAUUCUUUGAAUAAAGCCACAAUGAGAAACAGUGGGCAUUUGCUAGAGACCCCUAAGAGUAGAGUCUAGGAGGGUGAAAUGAGCCAGCUCUCAGGGUACCUGAGACCACAGGAUACUAUACUCAGAAAGGCUUAACUACAGAGAUCUCCACUGGGUAACAAAUACACCUAGCAUGUUUCAAAGAGGUUCCUUAGU